UACGUAGGGUGCGAGCGUUGUCCGGAAUUAUUGGGCGUAAAGAGCUUGUAGGCGGUCUGUCGCGUCUGCUGUGAAAAUCCGGGGCUCAACCCCGGACUUGCAGUGGGUACGGGCAGACUAGAGUGUGGUAGGGGAGACUGGAAUUCCUGGUGUAGCGGUGAAAUGCGCAGAUAUCAGGAAGAACACCAACGGCGAAGGCAGCUCGCUGGGACGGUACUGACGCUGAGACGCGAAAGCGAGGGGAGCAAACAGG
rnacentral:rRNA from 1 species